UGAAACCCUCCUUGACUGUGGCAAAUUCUGCGGGGAGCAAGUGCGCUGGUGUGUAAAUAAUGGAGUAAUUGACGGUAACAUUCCAAAUGAACACCAGUGGCACGACAUAGGUGGUAGUAGGGGUUCAUCAUGUGUUGUCAGUAAGCACCGACACUUGAAGUGGCUGCAAGCGGCAUGAAAGGACGCCACGCAACGUUACCCACUCCUCUGAAGAUCACCUUCAAGCGCCCAGGUCUCAAUCUCUCGCUAGGUCCAUCGCUGUUUCCAGUCUCUUCGCCAUGGCUGCGAAUCUGCAGAUUGUCUGCAGGCGACGACCCAUGAAGGAGAGUGCCUCGAGUGUAUAUCAACGACGCAUGAUGGCCACCUUGUCAGCUUCCUAUAGUGAUGCCCGCUUUUCCUUCGCUUCUGCCACGUGCCUUGUGUCACGGAUUGCCGAUAGAUUAGCGGCUUGUAACAAGAGCACAGUGCAAAGAAAACAUGAGGACGUUUCCAAAUACCAGAGUUCGGGCCCUGAACACCGAGUAUCGCGCACGAGCGUCUGUGUCGCCCACGAAAUAAUGAGCACCCGAGACAAGUGACAACAGUUCUCCGACUCCUCUCCCACUGUCGCCUGUCAUCUGUUCCUUUCUUCUGCGUUUGCUUGGAGCUCCAUCGCAGGCUGUGGUAGCAGAGUGGCCACGUCAAGGCCGCAAGAAAACUGCGUCAACACAGAUCGAAAUACUUGCUCUGUCGCUGAUUGCCCCCACGCACCUACUCAAACAAAAGCCCUUUCGGAGAUGAGGAAUUCGCAGAGACAGCAGAUUUAACUCGAAGGCUCUUGUUGUGGACCUUGGAGUGAUCAUUUCGGAGAGAAACUGGGACAAGAUUCGUGGAAUAGUCAAAAGAAACAUUUCUUCAACACUAUAUAUGAAGUGACGUUUCUUUAUAUUGCAGCAACCCUUCACGUAUGUUUAGGCAAGUACUAAUAACUAGGUGGAUUUUUUAUAUACUUGUUAGGUCUCUCACAUUAGGGGUGCUUAUACGCAGGGCCUAGUCUUACGCACAGGGAUGCUAUAUUUAGGAUCUCUUCGACCGCUC